UCCCCUCACGGAGCCGCUGCUGCUGCUGCCAGGGCCGGGCACCCACAGCCUCCUACUGAUGUACACACUCAAUGAACCAAGUAUAACUUCUCUAACAAGCACUGGAAUGAGCUCAAGUCUGACUGUGCUUUUUCUAUACCAUGUACCUAAUCAAGGAAUAGACACACAUCUUGGGUACUUCUGCGCAGGUCAUGGUACCAAGUUUGGUGUACAGUGACAAGAAGUGAGGCGAGGAGGGUAGGCAGUUUCAUCAGGAGAGGCACAGAGAUGAAUAGACAGGACCUCUGUGUCCCUCAGAGGGCUCAAAUGGCAGAAGUAGGUGGGAGGUGAGCUGACCCCUCUUUCAGAGGCUUGAGGAUUCCACAUGGAACCAACCAUCUGCAAACUCCACAAAGAGGGUGCCAAAUCCCAGAUGUGUGCUCAGCUCUGGUGAACAAAUGGCUGUGUGUGAAUUAACUGCAGCAAUUUCUGGAGACCGUAUGUGGGAUCUGACAUUAUGAUAUAAGGGGUGGAGUGAGUGAACAGCUGUGUUGGCUUAGCUGCUGUCUGGGGUUAAACCAUGGCAAUAUGGAAAGUGCUGAUAAUUUCUUCACGUGGUAUUCAAAUCUUUUCUUUAAA